rnacentral:rRNA from 1 species
UACGGGGGGGGCAAGCGUUGUUCGGAAUUACUGGGCGUAAAGGGCUUGUAGGUGGCCAACUAAGUCGGACGUGAAAUCCCUCAGCUUAACUGGGGAACUGCGUCCGAUACUGGAUGGCUUGAGUUUGGGAGAGGGAUGCGGAAUUCCAGGUGUAGCGGUGAAAUGCGUAGAUAUCUGGAGGAACACCGGUGGCGAAGGCGGCGUCCUGGACCAAUACUGACACUGAUGAGCGAAAGCCAGGGGAGCAAACGGG